CCGACGGAGGAUGCAAGCGUUAUCCGGAAUGAUUGGGCGUAAAGCGUCCGUAGGUGGCAGUUCAAGUCUGCUGUCAAAGACCGGGGCUCAACCUCGGAAAGGCAGUGGAAACUGAACAGCUAGAGUAAGGUAGGGGCAAAGGGAAUUCCUGGUGUAGCGGUGAAAUGCGUAGAGAUCAGCAAGAACAUCGGUGGCGAAGGCGCUUUGCUGGACCAUAAGCAGACACUGAGCGACGAAAGCUAGGGGAGCGAAUGGGAUUAGAUACCCCAGUAGUCCUAGCCGUAAACGAUGGAUACUAGGUGUUGUCUGUAUCGACCCGGACAGUUGCCGUAGCUCAACGCGUUAAGUAUCCCGCCUGGGGAGUACGCACGCAAGUGUGAAACUCAAAGGAAUUGACGGGGGCCCGCACAAGCGGUGGAGUAUGUGGUUUAAUUCGAUCACAACGCGAAGAACCUUACCAGGACUUGACAAA
rnacentral:rRNA from 1 species